rnacentral:rRNA from 1 species
UACAGAGGUCCCAAGCGUUACUGAGAAUCACUGGGUUUAAAGGGUGCGUAGGUGGUCCGUUAAGUCAGUUGUGAAAUCCCCGGGCUCAACCCGGGAACUGCUUCUGAUACUGGCGGACUUGAGGCCAGUAGGGGUCACUAGAACUGACGGUGGAGCGGUGAAAUGCGUAGAUAUCGGGAGGAACACCUGUGGCGAAAGCGGCUCACUGGACCACAACUGACGCUGAGGCGCGAAAGCUAGGGGAGCAAACAGG